CUUCGCUCUUUCUGUUGAUGGCAAAGUGUUCGUUCAUGCUCUUAAGAAAGGGGGGAAUGCUGAGAAAUCAAGAAUAAUAAUGGUUGGUGAUACAUUGAAAAAGGCCAGUGACUCUUCAACUGGGGGGCUUAUUGAGAUCAAUGACUUUGGCGAUACAGAGAAGAUGAUGAAUGAGAACGCAGGCCCUUGUAGCCUGGUUCUUGAGAGACCCUCUUUUCCAUUUCCUAUCCACCAGCUAUAUCUUAUGGAUGAUAUUGAUAUUCUGUAUAAUAGAGGUCGUGUUCCCAUUGCCUCAUGGAACAAAAAUUUACUUGCCUCCAACUUGCGAACGUCAUGUGAGGGCAGUGGGAACUCUGGAUUUGUAGUAUUUUCCCCAAAGUUACUAACAUUAAAUGGAUGGAAUGUUCUGAGUAAUGGAGAUCCAAUCAGGCAACAAGGAAAUCUGAACGGUACCCCCUGGUUACCAUUUAGCCCAAUUAUCAACAUAUUUUCUGAGAAAGACAUGAUAGAUUCUGAAUGGGCGCAUGGGAAUUUCCCACUGGAAGAAUACAUAAAGGCGUUGGAUCGUUCAAAGGGAGAACUGUAUUACAACCAUGAUCUUGGUAUGCGCUACAACAAGAUUACUGAGCAAAUGUAUGUGGGAUCGUGCAUACAAAAGGAAUCUGAUGUGGAAAUUCUGUCAGAUGUGGGGAUCACUGCUGUGGUGAAUUUUCAGAGUGGCAUCGAGGCUGAAAAUUGGGGAAUUAAUGCCGACAUAAUCAACGAAUCGUGCCAAAGGUUUAAUAUCCUUAUGAUCAACUAUCCCAUAAGGGAAGGAGAUUCAUUUGACAUGAGAAAGAAACUUCCAUUUUGUGUUGGUCUUCUUUUACGCUUAUUAAAGAAAAACCACAAAGUGUACGUGACUUGUACAACUGGUUUUGAUAGAUCCCCUGCUUGUGUAGUAGCUUACCUUCAUUGGAUGACAGAUACUUCCCUUCAUGCAGCCUAUAAUUUUGUCACUGGGUUGCAUUUAUGCAAGCCUGACAGACCAGCCAUUGCCUGGGCAACAUGGG
rnacentral:misc_RNA from 1 species